CAUGCAAGUCGAACGAAGUAGCAAUACUUAGUGGCAGACGGGUGAGUAACAUGUGGGUAUCUACCCUUUGGCCUGGAAUAACACGAGGAAACUUGUGCUAAUACCGGAUAAGUCUUUACGGAGAAAGCUUUAUGCACCAUUGGAUGAGCCCGCACUAGAUUAGUUUGUUGGUGGGGUAAUGGCCUACCAAGACUGUGAUCUAUAGCUGAUUUGAGAGGAUGAUCAGCCACAUUGGGACUGAGACACGGCCCAAACUCCUACGGGAGGCAGCAGUGGGGAAUCUUGCACAAUGGAGGAAACUCUGAUGCAGCGAUGCCGCGUGAGUGAAGAAGGCCUUUGGGUUGUAAAGCUCUUUCGUCGGGGAAGAAAAUGACUGUACCCGAAUAAGAAGGUCCGGCUAACUUCGUGCCAGCAGCCGCGGUAAUACGAAGGGACCUAGCGUAGUUCGGAAUUACUGGGCUUAAAGAGUUCGUAGGUGGUUAAAAUAGUUGGUGGUGAAAUCCCAGAGCUUAACUCUGGAACUGCCAUCAAAACUUUUUAGCUAGAGUAUGAUAGAGGAAAGUAGAAUUUCUAGUGUAGAGGUGAAAUUCGUAGAUAUUAGAAAGAAUACCGAUUGCGAAGGCAGCUUUCUGGAUCAUUACUGACACUGAGGAACGAAAGCAUGGGUAGCGAAGAGGAUUAGAUACCCUCGUAGUCCAUGCCGUAAACGAUGUGUGUUAGAUGUUGGAAAUUUAUUUUCAGUGUCGCAGCGAAAGCAAUAAACACACCGCUGGGGAGUACGACCG
rnacentral:rRNA from 1 species